rnacentral:rRNA from 1 species
GACGAACCGUGCGAACGUUGUUCGGAAUCACUGGGCUUAAAGGGCGCGUAGGCGGGCCAUAAAGUCAGGGGUGAAAUCCUCCAGCUUAACUGGAGAACUGCCUUUGAUACUGAUGGUCUCGAGUAAGGUAGGGGCAUGCGGAACUGAUGGUGGAGCGGUGAAAUGUGUUGAUAUCAUCAGGAACUCCGGUGGCGAAGGCGGCAUGCUGGACCUUCACUGACGCUGAGGCGCGAAAGCUAGGGGAGCAAACGGG